AAGUCGUAACAAGGUCUCCGUUGGUGAACCAGCGGAGGGAUCAUUACAGAGUUACCUAACUCCAAACCCAUGUGAACUUACCUAUGUUGCCUCGGCGGGGAAGCCUACCCGGUACCUACCCUGUAGCUACCCGGGAGCGAGCUACCCUGUAGCUCGCUGCAGGCCUACCCGCCGGUGGACACUUAAACUCUUGUUUUUUUAGUGAUUAUCUGAGUGUUUAUACUUAAUAAGUUAAAACUUUCAACAACGGAUCUCUUGGUUCUG
rnacentral:misc_RNA from 1 species